UAUCCACUGUGGGCGGAGGAAACUUGAGGGGUUCAUUCCUUAGUACGAGAGGACCGGGAAUGACGCACUUCUGGUGUGGCAGUUGUUCCGUCAGGGGCAUCGCUGCGUAGCCAUGUGCGGAAGGGAUAAGCGCUGAAAGCAUCUAAGUGCCAAGCCCAUCCCAAGAUAAGGUUUCCCUGGUCGCAAGACCCUAAAGACUCCGGGUAGACUACCCGGUUGAUAGGUCAGGCGUGCAAGCGCUGCAAGGCGCUCAGCGGACUGAUACUAAUACGUCGUGAGGCUUGAUCGU
rnacentral:rRNA from 1 species